rnacentral:rRNA from 3 species
UCCCCCCUCUAAUCAGUGAAACUGAUCUCCCCGUGAAGAAGCGGGGAUAUACAUAUAAGACGAGAAGACCCCAUGGAGCUUUAAACCUGACAGCACCCGCUCAUUCUAUACCCCAUUAUUUGCCCGACCCCUGUCUGCUCAGUUUUAGGUUGGGGUGACCACGGAGUAUAAAAUAACCUCCAUGAAGAAGGGGAUAUUUCCCUUAUUAGAGAACCACACUUCCAAGAACUAAUAAAUUAAUUUUCAAUGACCCGAUACCCGAUAAUCGAUCAACGAACCAAGUUACCCUGGGGAUAACAGCGCAAUCCACCCUGAAAGCCCUUAUUAACAGGUGGGUUUACGACCUCGAUGUUGGAUCAGGGUAUCCCAGUGGUGCAGCAGCUACUGAGGGUUCGUUUGUUCAACGAUUAAAACCCU